UUCCCCUACGGGGCGCAGCAGUGGGGAAUAUUGCGCAAUGGGGGAAACCCUGACGCAGCAACGCCGCGUGCAGGAAGAAGGUCUUCGGAUUGUAAACUGUUGUCGCAGGGGAAGAAGACAGUGACGGUACCCUGUGAGAAAGUCACGGCUAACUACGUGCCAGCAGCCGCGGUAAUACGUAGGUGGCGAGCGUUGUCCGGAAUUACUGGGUGUAAAGGGAGUGUAGGCGGGAAAGCAAGGCAGAAGUGAAAACUAUGGGCUUAACCCAUAGCCUG
rnacentral:rRNA from 1 species